AAUAAAAUCUGAGAUUUGUGGGAAGGAUCAUUUCCUGGGAAGUGGAAUCACUGAGAGAGAAAUUGAAGAACUGAUGUGGAAAAGAUGAGUCAUGAAGCUACAAGGAUAGACUUUUUGUUCUUAUGGUGUCCUAACUUUGUUGAUAAUUUGGAAAACACUGUUCACAUAAACAUAUUGUCACCACUGACUCACUGAGUUUUUUGGCAAGCCUUUUAGACCU
rnacentral:lncRNA from 1 species